CUUGGUAUCCUGUGUUGCUUACCUAUCGAAAGGAAUCCGACGGUCUCAUUCGUCCCUCUCCGCCCAAGUCCCCGCGGGUUGCGGGGUGGACGUCGGGCAUGCCCUGUGUUCCUGACAAGCCUCGUCCAGUCGCUUGGCUUUCUCGGCCCACGGUGUGUUACGCCCAUUCUCUCGGAUGCGGAACGUAGUGUGCGGGCGAGGGGCCUGUAAGCACAGGCUCUGUUCGCCCGAGCAAUGGAUUUUGUCCCUCGACGCGAAUGACUGCCGCGCUCGUCUCGAGCCCUGCUGGGCCUCACGGCCCGUGGGGCAUCGUGCAGGCAUCAGCGUCGUGAAGGAACGCUACCUGGUUGAUCCUGCCAGUAGUCAUAUGCUUGUCUC
rnacentral:misc_RNA from 1 species